rnacentral:rRNA from 1 species
UUAAGUUAUUAAGGGCGCACGGUGGAUGCCUUGGCACUAGAAGCCGAUGAAGGACGUUACUAACGACGAUAUGCUUUGGGGAGCUGUAAGUAAGCUUUGAUCCAGAGAUUUCCGAAUGGGGAAACCCAGCAUGAGUUAUGUCAUGUUAUCGAUAUGUGAAUACAUAGCAUAUCAGAAGGCACACCCGGAGAACUGAAACAUCUUAGUACCCGGAGGAAGAGAAAGAAAAUUCGAUUCCCUUAGUAGCGGCGAGCGAAACGGGAAGAGCCCAAACCAACAAGCUUGCUUGUUGGGGUUGUAGGACACUCUAUACGGAGUUACAAAGGACGACAUUAGACGAAUCAUCUGGAAAGAUGAAUCAAAGAAGGUAAUAAUCCUGUAGUCGAAAAUGUUGUCUCUCUUGAGUGGAUCCUGAGUACGACGGAGCACGUGAAAUUCCGUCGGAAUCUGGGAGGACCAUCUCCUAAGGCUAAAUACUCUCUAGUGACCGAUAGUGAACCAGUACCGUGAGGGAAAGGUGAAAAGCACCCCGGAAGGGGAGUGAAAUAGAACCUGAAACCGUGUGCUUACAAGUAGUCAGAGCCCGUUAAUGGGUGAUGGCGUGCCUUUUGUAGAAUGAACCGGCGAGUUACGAUUUGAUGCAAGGUUAAGCAGUAAAUGUGGAGCCGUAGCGAAAGCGAGUCUGAAUAGGGCGUUUAGUAUUUGGUCGUAGACCCGAAACCAGGUGAUCUACCCUUGGUCAGGUUGAAGUUCAGGUAACACUGAAUGGAGGACCGAACCGACUUACGUUGAAAAGUGAGCGGAUGAACUGAGGGUAGCGGAGAAAUUCCAAUCGAACCUGGAGAUAGCUGGUUCUCUCCGAAAUAGCUUUAGGGCUAGCCUCAAGUGAUGAUUAUUGGAGGUAGAGCACUGUUUGGACGAGGGGCCCUCUCGGGUUACCGAAUUCAGACAAACUCCGAAUGCCAAUUAAUUUAACUUGGGAGUCAGAACAUGGGUGAUAAGGUCCGUGUUCGAAAGGGAAACAGCCCAGACCACCAGCUAAGGUCCCAAAAUAUAUGUUAAGUGGAAAAGGAUGUGGCGUUGCCCAGACAACUAGGAUGUUGGCUUAGAAGCAGCCAUCAUUUAAAGAGUGCGUAAUAGCUCACUAGUCGAGUGACACUGCGCCGAAAAUGUACCGGGCUAAACAUAUUACCGAAGCUGUGGAUUGUCCUUUGGACAAUGGUAGGAGAGCGUUCUAAGGGCGUUGAAGCAUGAUCGUAAGGACAUGUGGAGCGCUUAGAAGUGAGAAUGCCGGUGUGAGUAGCGAAAGACGGGUGAGAAUCCCGUCCACCGAUUGACUAAGGUUUCCAGAGGAAGGCUCGUCCGCUCUGGGUUAGUCGGGUCCUAAGCUGAGGCCGACAGGCGUAGGCGAUGGAUAACAGGUUGAUAUUCCUGUACCACCUAUAAUCGUUUUAAUCGAUGGGGGGACGCAGUAGGAUAGGCGAAGCGUGCGAUUGGAUUGCACGUCUAAGCAGUAAGGCUGAGUAUUAGGCAAAUCCGGUACUCGUUAAGGCUGAGCUGUGAUGGGGAGAAGACAUUGUGUCUUCGAGUCGUUGAUUUCACACUGCCGAGAAAAGCCUCUAGAUAGAAAAUAGGUGCCCGUACCGCAAACCGACACAGGUAGUCAAGAUGAGAAUUCUAAGGUGAGCGAGCGAACUCUCGUUAAGGAACUCGGCAAAAUGACCCGUAACUUCGGAGAGGGGUGCUCUUUAGGGUUACCGCCCAGAAGAGCCGCAGUGAAUA